rnacentral:rRNA from 1 species
UACGGAGGAUGCGAGCGUUAUCCGGAUUUAUUGGGUUUAAAGGGUGCGUAGGCGGGCUUUUAAGUCAGCGGUAAAAAUUCGGGGCUCAACCCCGUCCGGCCGUUGAAACUGGGGGCCUUGAGUGGGCGAGAGGAAGGCGGAAUGCGUGGUGUAGCGGUGAAAUGCAUAGAUAUCACGCAGAACCCCGAUUGCGAAGGCAGCCUUCCGGCGCCCUACUGACGCUGAGGCACGAAAGCGUGGGGAGCAAACAGG